GAUGAACGCUAGCGGGAGGCUUAACACAUGCAAGUCGAGGGGCAGCACGUCUUCGGAUGGUGGCGACCGGCGCACGGGUGCGUAACGCGUAUGCAACUUGCCCUUAACUGGAACAUAGCCCGGGGAAACUCGGAUUAAUUUUCCAUAGAAUCUGUUUUCGGCAUCGAAGAAAGAUUAAAGCUCCGGCGGUUAAGGAUAGGCAUGCGUCUGAUUAGCUUGUUGGUGAGGUAACGGCUCACCAAGGCAAUGAUCAGUAGGGGUUCUGAGAGGAUGAUCCCCCACACUGGUACUGAGACACGGACCAGACUCCUACGGGAGGCAGCAGUGAGGAAUAUUGGUCAAUGGACGCAAGUCUGAACCAGCCAUCCCGCGUGCAGGAAGAAGGCCCUAUGGGUUGUAAACUGCUUUUAUACACCAAGAAACCCCUUCUCGUGAGGAGGGCUGACGGUAGUGUAUGAAUAAGCACCGGCUAACUCCGUG
rnacentral:rRNA from 1 species